rnacentral:sRNA from 1 species
GCCAGGUGUGGUGGCACACAUCUGUAAUCCCAGCGUCUCUGGAGGCUGAGGCAGGAGGAUCACAAGUUCAAAGCCAGCUUCAGCAGCUUAGUGAGGCCCUAAGCAACUCAGUGAGACUCUGUCUCUA